rnacentral:tRNA from 1 species
GGAGGGUACGCGAAUUGGCUAGCAGCCUGACUCGAAAUCAGGUGUCCCGUAAGGGAUUGGGGGUUCGAGUCCCCUGCCCUCCG